rnacentral:rRNA from 1 species
UACGGAGGGUGCAAGCGUUAUCCGGAUUCACUGGGUUUAAAGGGUGCGUAGGUGGGCAGGUAAGUCAGUGGUGAAAUCCUGUAGCUUAACUACAGAACUGCCAUUGAUACUAUCUGUCUUGAAUACCCUGGAGGUGAGCGGAAUAUGUCAUGUAGCGGUGAAAUGCUUAGAUAUGACAUAGAACACCAAUUGCGAAGGCAGCUCACUACUCAAUCAUUGACUCUGAGGCACGAAAGCGUGGGGAUCAAACAGG